rnacentral:rRNA from 1 species
CCUACGGGCGGCUGCAGUGGGGAAUAUUGCACAAUGGGCGCAAGCCUGAUGCAGCCAUGCCGCGUGUGUGAAGAAGGCCUUCGGGUUGUAAAGCACUUUCAGCGGGGAGGAAGGCGUUAAGGUUAAUAACCUUGGCGAUUGACGUUACCCGCAGAAGAAGCACCGGCUAACUCCGUGCCAGCAGCCGCGGUAAUACGGAGGGUGCAAGUGUUAAUCGGAAUUACUGGGCGUAAAGCGCACGCAGGCGGUCUGUCAAGUUGGAUGUGAAAUCCCCGGGCUCAACCUGGGAACUGCAUUCGAAACUGGCAGGCUAGAGUCUUGUAGAGGGGGGUAGAAUUCCAGGUGUAGCGGUGAAAUGCGUAGAGAUCUGGAGGAAUACCGGCGGCGAAGGCGGCCCCCUGGACAAAGACUGACGCUCAGGUGCGAAAGCGUGGGGAGCAAACAGGAUUAGAUACCCUUGUAGUC